UGUGAAUGAUUGAGCUAAGUACUACUAUAAUUGUCACCAUACUUCCCUAGAAUAAACUGCCUUUUGAUGACUGAGACAAAUUAAGUAAAAUCGUAAUGGACAGAUAUGGAGCAGACAGUU